rnacentral:ribozyme from 1 species
AGCAAUCAAUUGGAUGCCUUCCUGACCAUGACAAAUACAUAUAUCGACGAUGCUUCUGUGAAAGAUAUCAUCCAAAAGGUGAUUCGGGAAUAUCGAGAAAAGAACGACUUGUGAUGCU